AGUGAACGCUGGCGGUAGGCCUAACACAUGCAAGUCGAACGGCAGCACAGUAAGAGCUUGCUCUUACGGUUGGCGAGUGGCGGACGGGUGAGGAAUACAUCGGAAUCUACUUUUUCGUGGGGGAUAACGUAGGGAAACUUACGCUAAUACCGCAUACGACCUACGGGUGAAAGCAGGGGAUCUUCGGACCUUGCGCGAUUGAAUGAGCCGAUGUCGGAUUAGCUAGUUGGCGGGGUAAAGGCCCACCAAGGCGACGAUCCGUAGCUGGUCUGAGAGGAUGAUCAGCCACACUGGAACUGAGACACGGUCCAGACUCCUACGGGAGGCAGCAGUGGGGAAUAUUGGACAAUGGGCGCAAGCCUGAUCCAGCCAUACCGCGUGGGUGAAGAAGGCCUUCGGGUUGUAAAGCCCUUUUGUUGGGAAAGAACAGCAGCAGGUUAAUACCCGGCUGUUCUGACGGUACCCAAAGAAUAAGCACCGGCUAACUUCGUG
rnacentral:rRNA from 1 species